rnacentral:rRNA from 1 species
AUUGAACGCUGGCGGCAGGCCUAACACAUGCAAGUCGAGCGAGCGGCGGACGGGUGAGUAAUGUCUGGGAAACUGCCUGAUGGAGAGGGAUAACUACUGGAAACGGUAGCUAAUACCGCAUACCAUCAGAUGUGCCCAGAUGGGAUUAGCUAGUAGGUGGGGUAAUGGCUCACCUAGGCGACGAUCCCUAGCUGGUCUGAGGGGAUGACCAGCCAAACUGGAACUGAGGAACGGUCCAGACUCGUACGGUGGGCAGCAGUGGGGAAUAUGGCACAAGGGGCGAAAGCCUGAUGCAGCCAUGCCGCGUGUAUGAAGAAGGCCUUCGGGUUGUAAAGUACUUUCAGCGAGGAGGCGUUACUCGCAGAAGAAGCACCGGCUAACUCCGUGCCAGCAGCCGCGGUAAUA